GCGGAGGAAAAGAAACCAACAGGGAUUGCCCCAGUAACGGCGAGUGAAGCGGCAACAGCUCAAAUUUGAAAUCUGGCCCCUAGGGCCCGAGUUGUAAUUUGCAGAGGAUGCUUUUGGCGAGGUGCCUUCCGAGUUCCCUGGAACGGGACGCCAUAGAGGGUGAGAGCCCCGUCUGGUUGGAUACCGAGCCUCUGUAAAGCUCCUUCGACGAGUCGAGUAGUUUGGGAAUGCUGCUCUAAAUGGGAGGUAUAUGUCUUCUAAAGCUAAAUACCGGCCAGAGACCGAUAGCGCACAAGUAGAGUGAUCGAAAGAUGAAAAGCACUUUGAAAAGAGGGUUAAAUAGUACGUGAAAUUGUUGAAAGGGAAGCGCUUAUGACCAGACUUGGACCCGGUGAAUCAUCCAGCGUUCUCGCUGGUGCACUUUGCCGGGCUCAGGCCAGCAUCAGUUUGUCUCGGGGGAUAAAGGCUUAGGGAAUGUGGCUCCUCCGGGAGUGUUAUAGCCCUUUGCACAAUACCCUGGGGCGGACUGAGGUUCGCGCAUCUGCAAGGAUGCUGGCGUAAUGGUCAUCAGCGACCCGUCUUGAAACACGGACCAAGGAGUCGUCUUCGUAUGCGAGUGUUCGGGUGUAAAACCCCUACGCGUAAUGAAAGUGAACGCAGGUGAGAGCUUCGGCGCAUCAUCGACCGAUCCUGAUGUUCUCGGAUGGAUUUGAGUAAGAGCAUACGGGGCCGGACCCGAAAGAAGGUGAACUAUGCCUGUAUAGGGUGAAGCCAGAGGAAACUCUGGUGGAGGCUCGCAGCGGUUCUGACGUGCAAAUCGAUCGUCAAAUAUGGGCAUGGGGGCGAAAGACUAAUCGAACCUCU
rnacentral:rRNA from 1 species